rnacentral:piRNA from 1 species
CGGGACUGUCACCUUUGUUAAGGAGCCACU